GAUGAACGCUGGCGGCGUGCCUAAUACAUGCAAGUCGAGCGAACGGACGAGAAGCUUGCUUCUCUGAUGUUAGCGGCGGACGGGUGAGUAACACGUGGAUAACCUACCUAUAAGACUGGGAUAACUUCGGGAAACCGGAGCUAAUACCGGAUAAUAUUUUGAACCGCAUGGUUCAAAAGUGAAAGACGGUCUUGCUGUCACUUAUAGAUGGAUCCGCGCUGCAUUAGCUAGUUGGUAAGGUAACGGCUUACCAAGGCAACGAUGCAUAGCCGACCUGAGAGGGUGAUCGGCCACACUGGAACUGAGACACGGUCCAGACUCCUACGGGAGGCAGCAGUAGGGAAUCUUCCGCAAUGGGCGAAAGCCUGACGGAGCAACGCCGCGUGAGUGAUGAAGGUCUUCGGAUCGUANAACUCUGUUAUUAGGGAAGAACAUAUGUGUAAGUAACUGUGCACAUCUUGACGGUACCUAAUCAGAAAGCCACGGCUAACUACGUGCCAGCAGCCGCGGUAAUACGUAGGUGGCAAGCGUUAUCCGGAAUUAUGGGCGUAAAGCGCGCGUAGGCGGUUUUUUAAGUCUGAUGUGAAAGCCCACGGCUCAACCGUGGAGGGUCAUUGGAAACUGGAAAACUUGAGUGCAGAAGAGGAAAGUGGAAUUCCAUGUGUAGCGGUGAAAUGCGCAGAGAUAUGGAGGAACACCAGUGGCGAAGGCGACUUUCUGGUCUGUAACUGACGCUGAUGUGCGAAAGCGUGGGGAUCAAACAGGAUUAGAUACCCUGGUAGUCCACGCCGUAAACGAUGAGUGCUAAGUGUUAGGGGGUUUCCGCCCCUUAGUGCUGCAGCUAACGCAUUAAGCACUCCGCCUGGGGAGUACGACCGCAAGGUUGAAACUCAAAGGAAUUGACGGGGACCCGCACAAGCGGUGGAGCAUGUGGUUUAAUUCGAAGCAACGCGAAGAACCUUACCAAAUCUUGACAUCCUUUGACAACUCUAGAGAUAGAGCCUUCCCCUUCGGGGGACAAAGUGACAGGUGGUGCAUGGUUGUCGUCAGCUCGUGUCGUGAGAUGUUGGGUUAAGUCCCGCAACGAGCGCAACCCUUAAGCUUAGUUGCCAUCAUUAAGUUGGGCACUCUAAGUUGACUGCCGGUGACAAACCGGAGGAAGGUGGGGAUGACGUCAAAUCAUCAUGCCCCUUAUGAUUUGGGCUACACACGUGCUACAAUGGACAAUACAAAGGGCAGCGAAACCGCGAGGUCAAGCAAAUCCCAUAAAGUUGUUCUCAGUUCGGAUUGUAGUCUGCAACUCGACUACAUGAAGCUGGAAUCGCUAGUAAUCGUAGAUCAGCAUGCUACGGUGAAUACGUUCCCGGGUCU
rnacentral:rRNA from 1 species